UUGGAGGGCAAGUCUGGUGCCAGCAGCCGCGGUAAUUCCAGCUCCAAUAGCGUAUAUUAAAGUUGUUGCAGUUAAAAAGCUCGUAGUUGAAUUUCGGGGUUCUUCCGUUGGUCAGGCUAACAAGUCUGUACUAGCGUGUAGAAUCUCUACCUUCUGGGGAACCAUCAUGCUAUUAAUUUAGCGUGGUGGGAAACCAGGACCUUUACCUUGAAAAAAUUAGAGUGUUCAAAGCAGGCUUACGUCUGAAUACAUUAGCAUGGAAUAAUAAAAUAGGACGGUGGUCCUGUUUUGUUGGUUUCUGAAUCACCGUAAUGAUUAAUAGGGAUAGUUGGGGGCAUUAGUAUUCAAUUGUCAGAGGUGAAAUUCUUGGAUUUAUUGAAGACUAACUUCUGCGAAAGCAUUUGCCAAGGAUGUUUUCAUUAAUCAAGAACGAAAGUUAGGGGAUCGAAGACGAUCAGAUACCGUCGUAGUCUUAACCAUAAACUAUGCCGACUAGGGAUCGGACGAUGUUAAAUUUUAUUGACUCGUUCGGCGCCUUACGGGAAAC
rnacentral:rRNA from 1 species